UGCGACUGGUCCACAACCUGUUUCUCUUGGACAUACCAAGGGUCAUUUUCUAGCACCACCGGAGAGGCAGACAUUUUCUUUCUGACGGGAGAUGCAUGCAACCAGCAAUUGUUUACUUCCCUACCAACAAGUAAAUUGGCGAGUGUGACUGCUGGGUCGUCGCAGACGAUUUCCGGGACGGAAUCUUAUUCAGCAUCGACUGUUUGAAUUGUGACGGGUUGUGAAACAUCUGGUGGCUGUAUUUAUUCCUUUACAGACCUUGUACUCGCGUGUCCCGGUGACUCGUCCCCUUCGCCAUCUACUUCUACUGGCAUGAUCGCCGGCAUAGUUGCCGGCGUUGUCGUCGCCUUUCCCCCUCUUAUUUUCAGCGUGAUGGCCGCUUUCUUCAAACCACGUCUCCGCCGCAUACUUCUCAAGUGGGGAUUCAAACGCCUGGCCGACGGGAUCGUUCCAGGGCUCGGGGGGCGGAUUAGCAAAUUGGAGGCAUUCAUGGCGAAACAAAAACUCCCUCGCCUUCAUGGCUUCACCCCUGAGAUUGACCCGUCCGAGAUCACGAUAAACAAAGCGGACGUCCUCGGCACCGGAAGCUAUGGCACAGUGUACAAAGCUUCGCACAUAAGUGAGGAGGUCGCGGUCAAAGCGAUGUUCGAGAGUGCUAACGACCGACUCCCCGCGUACGCCGCGAAGUUACUGCGCAACGAAGCGAUGCUCAUGUGCUCGUUGAAUCAUACAAAUGUUGUCCGCAUCUUAGGCGCGGUCACUCAAAAAGGUUGGCUCGUCAAGGAGCUGUGCGCGGGCGGGCCACUAGAGACACGUACCUCCACGAUCCGGACAAUACACUGGACGCGAGUGACAAGGCGCGUCUCGCGACAGAAACAGCCACCGGCAUGGCGUACCUUCACAUGCGUGAGGUCGACAUCAUUCACGGCGACAUAAAAGCGGGGAACGUACUUCUAGUCUCGGACAAGUCCGUUCGGAUUUGCGACUUUGGUAUGGCCGAGGCGAAGAACCGUUCGAAAACGGUGACAUCUGCGGCCGCCGCCUCCAACGGGCGCUCAUCAGUCGCGCUCACCGUGUACGCAAAUUUAUUAUUAUUUUG
rnacentral:lncRNA from 1 species